CAGUAGCCGCGGUAAUACAGAGGGUGCAAGCGUUAAUCGGAAUUACUGGGCGUAAAGCGCGCGUAGGUGGUUCGCCAAGUUGGAUGUGAAAUCCCCGGGCUCAACCUGGGAACUGCAUCCAAAACUGGCGAGCUAGAGUAUGGUAGAGGGUGGUGGAAUUUCCUGUGUAGCGGUGAAAUGCGUAGAUAUAGGAAGGAACAUCAGUGGCGAAGGCGACCACCUGGACUGAUACUGACACUGAGGUGCGAAAGCGUGGGGAGCAAACAGGAUUAGAGACCCCAGUAGUCCCUGUCUCUUAUAC
rnacentral:rRNA from 1 species